rnacentral:miRNA from 1 species
CAGAACUUCUACUAUAAUUUGAAUUUCGGAUAAACAAUGAAUAAAUUGUUUAAUAUAAGUAUGUCCCAUGCAGUAUUUGGGACAUACUUACACUAAAAUUUUAUUCAUUGUUUAUCUGAAAUUCAAACUUAAUUGAAUAUCCUG